ensembl:lncRNA
GUCUAAUUGACCAGAAUGUGGAGAUAGAACAGGAUUAUGACCUUAAAUAUAAUGUUUUUUGGAUUAUCAGUGUUGACCCUAAGCCCUGUUCUUGUAGACCCAUGACUUGAUUGCUAAAAAUAUGCUUAUUCAUGGCAUUUAAUUGAAAAUGUUUGGAGGUCUUUUGGGGAGAUUUGAGUAGAGAUAUUUGGGAGAGAGGGGAAUCUGGUUCAGAAUAUUUGUAACAAAUACAAAAUAUUUACCAGUAUUAGUUGCUUUUGUAGGCUCUUAGUUUCCCAAUUAAUCUGAGAAGUGAUUAGUGUGUACCAUUGGAUUUAUCUCAUUGUUCUCAUGCUUCUGGCAGUGCUCAGACCAUCAUCAGAGCUCAUCAUGCCAAACCCCAAGGGGAACUGAUUGCGAGGAGGGCAACUAUUGCCAGUGAUCCAGCUCUUACUGUCCCUGCAGACCUGGGCAAACAUCGUUGUUCCAUGAAGAGUCCAGUUACUCUGUGUCUGAGGAACUACCCUUGCAUGUGGAGGGUUCUUAUACUAGAAGAUCUACUCCGUGGCAGCUAUAAUAAUAGCCUGAAGCCUGCAGUCCAGGAAUGAAUCUCUUGAUAGAAAUUCAGCCUAGAUAAUCUUUCUUCCCCAUGCAAAUAUCAACAUAGCUGAAGCUCUCCAGAGCAUGACUGCAGCAUGCCUGCAAGGACACAGCAUCCCUGCGCCUUGUGUUCACCGCUGCCCCUCCAUGGCAGAACACUGUGCCAGCUAACCAGUCUGAGGUAUCUUAGCACACCUCAGUCAUGCCUCCAAAAACCUCACCAUACAGCUGAGUCUGUACCAAAUGCUCUACCUUUUGCAUGUGAACGGUCCCUUUGAAGUCAGCAGGACCACUCAGAGAGGCUCAAGCUCAGUGUACAGUCAGUGUUAUCUUCGCCUUUUGAAAAUGGCUACGCUCAUCCAAGAGAUUUUCAGAAUAGACCUAGAAGAAGGGACAGAGAAAGUUCAACAAGCGGCAUAUGUAUUCAGAAGUUUUAAGAAUGCUUUUUAUACUUAAAAGAAGAUAAUUAUUCAGAGUCCAAGAAAAGGGGAAGCUGUUAAACUGUGGGACUGACCCUCUGCACUGGUAUUUUCUCGGUUUGAUGUAAUCUAUGAAAGGUUGCUGUACAUUGCGGUAUUGUAAUCAUUUUGAUGUUUAAGCUGCAUACAGAAGUUCUUCUGCCCUCUGCUCUGAGCUCUGGACACAAGGCAACUUGAGUCUGAAAGCUCACAGCUGUUUUAGUGCUGCUUUUUUUCUGAGCUAAUAUACACUGUGGCAAUCUGUGGCUUUUGGACCAAAGCUGCCUUGCAUUUUACUGACCUGAAGCAGAGAGCAGAAGAACUUGUGUCUGGAAAUCAAAAACAUAUUUUCAGUGAAGGUGUUUUAGUGAAGGUUUAAAUUCUUGAUUCUGACUCUACCGCUGUGGUCUGACUUCUGUGUCUGCACUGAGCUUGUGACCUGGUGCUGAGUAAUCCCCUCUUUGGAGGGAUAGUUGCUACAUUGUCAGGUUUGCAUUCUAUGGCAUCCACUUUUUUUUUUUAUUGCAAUUUGAUGCAAGUUCUGUAAAUGUGUUGCAGACUACCUGAACUAGGAAAAUGAGGGUGUGAGAUUAAGUGCUGAUUUUGAGCUUUGAUAGCUUUAUGGAGGAAAAGUUAUUCAAGGACAAUAGACUUGAUUUCUUGAAAUUUCCUGCCUGACAUAGUAUCACAGGGAGAGUGUGGGAAAGAUUCUCAGGGAGGGCACUCUUUGAAGGGGGGAAGUAUGGAGGAAAUACUUCAAAUGAGCUUCUGAAAUCCUGAAUGAGUACCCUAAUUUUUAUAUGACAGAAGGUACAAGCAGUAGGCAGGGCUGCCAACACUACUGCUAUUUUACAGACACCAAAGCUAAAAUUUUGUACCUGACCCAAGCUGUUUGCUGAGUGGGCAGAUAGUUCUGGGUUGUCUCAAUCUGCAUUUUUCAGCAAACAUACCUAUCUACUGAAAGAGAAAGAGAAGAAAUUUU